rnacentral:lncRNA from 1 species
CACCAGCAGACGUUUCUGAAUCAACUACGAGAAAUUACAGGGAUUAAUGAUGCCCAGAUUCUACAGCAAGCCUUGAAGUUACCAGUAUCUGGGGGAGAAAACAGUGUACUUAAAUCUUAAUUGUUGCUCAAUAUAAAUUUGUAAAAUGUUUAAUAAUGGGUUGACUAUCGCAGCAUUAUACUGACACAGAGUCUACUUUUGGGAGCCACAGUGUCAUCGAUUGAUUUUAGCACUUUUGUAUUGAGAAUCUCUUUGUAUGUUCCAAGAUAGUAAUGGAAACUUGGAGCUAGCAGUGGCUUUCCUUACUGCAAAGAAUGCCAAGACCCCUCAGCAGGAGGAGACCACUUACUACCAAACAGCGCUUCCUGGCAAUGACAGAUACAUCAGUGUGGGCAGCCAAGCAGAUACAAGAAAAAAACAGUAUAUGCCCACCAGAACAAGAUGUGCUACAAUUGAGCAAUCAAAGUAUGGAUCGAAAGAUAAGAGGGAUUUGGAUGUGAUUGAUCUUACUGGAGAUGAUAAAGAUGAUCUUCAGAGAGCAAUUGCCUUGAGUUUGGCGGAAUCAAACAGGGCAUUCAGGGAGACUGGAAUAACUGAUGAGGAACAAGCCAUUAGCAGAGUUCUUGAGGCCAGCAUAGCAGAAAAUAAAGAAUGUUUGAAGAGGACACCUACUGAAGUUUGGAGAGAUUCUCGAAACCCUUACGAUAGAAAAAGGCAGGACAAAGCUCCUGUUGGACUAAAGAAUGUUGGCAAUACUUGCUGGUUUAGUGCUGUUAUUCAGUCAUUAUUCAAUCUUUUGGAAUUCAGAAGAUUAGUUCUGAAUUACAAGCCUCCAUCAAAUGUUCAAGAUUUACCCCGAAACCAAAAGGAGCAUCGGAAUUUGCCUUUCAUGCGUGAGCUUCGAUAUCUAUUUGCACUUCUUGUUGGUACUAAAAGGAAAUAUGUUGAUCCAUCUAGAGCAGUUGAGAUUCUUAAAGAUGCUUUCAAAUCAAAUGACUCCCAGCAGCAAGACGUGAGUGAGUUUACACACAAAUUAUUAGAUUGGUUAGAAGAUGCCUUCCAAAUGAAAGCUGAAGAAGAGACGGAUGAAGACAAGCCAAAGAACCCCAUGGUAGAGCUGUUCUAUGGAAGAUUCCUAGCUGUGGGAGUGCUUGAAGGUAAAAAAUUUGAAAAUACUGAAAUGUUUGGUCAGUACCCACUUCAGGUCAAUGGAUUCAAAGAUCUACAUGAAUGCCUAGAAGCUGCUAUGAUUGAAGGAGAAAUUGAGUCUUUACAUUCAGAAAAUUCAGGAAAAUCCGGUCAAGAGCAUUGGUUUACUGAACUACCACCUGUGUUAACAUUUGAAUUGUCAAGAUUUGAAUUUAAUCAGGCACUGGGAAGACCAGAAAAAAUUCACAAUAAAUUAGAAUUUCCUCAAGUUUUAUAUCUGGACAGAUACAUGCAUAGAAACAGAGAAAUAACAAGAAUUAAGAGGGACGAGAUCAAGAGGCUAAAAGAUUACCUCACAGUAUUACAACAAAGACUUGAAAGAUAUUUAAGCUAUGGUUCGGGUCCCAAACGGUUUCCCUUGGUGGAUGUUCUGCAGUACGCCUUGGAAUUUGCCUCAAGUAAACCUGUUUGCACUUCUCCUGUUGAUGAUAUUGAUGCUAGUUCCCCAUCUAGUGGUUCCGUACCAUCACAGACAUUACCAAGCACAACAGACCAACAGGGAGCUCCUUCUUCAGAACUGCCAAGCACGUCACCCGUGUCAAUAGCUGCCAUUUCAUCAAGAUCAGUAAUACACAAACCAUUCACUCAGUCCCGGAUACCUCCAGACUUGCCCAUGCAUCCGGCACCAAGGCACAUAACAGAAGAAGAACUCUCUGUGCUGGAAAGCUGUUUACAUCGCUGGAGGACAGAAAUAGAAAAUGACACCAGAGAUUUACAGGAAAGCAUAUCUAGAAUCCAUCGCACAAUUGAGCUAAUGUACUCUGACAAAUCUAUGAUCCAAGUUCCUUAUCGUUUACAUGCUGUUUUAGUUCAUGAAGGUCAAGCUAAUGCCGGGCACUACUGGGCAUACAUUUUUGAUCAUCGUGAAAACAGGUGGAUGAAGUACAAUGAUAUUGCUGUAACAAAAUCAUCGUGGGAAGAGCUAGUGAGAGAUUCUUUUGGUGGUUACAGAAAUGCCAGUGCAUACUGUUUAAUGUACAUAAAUGACAAACCACAAUUCUUAAUACAAGAGGAGUUUAAUAAAGAAACUGGGCAGGCCCUUGCUGGAAUAGAAACACUACCCCCCGACUUAAGAGAUUUUGUUGAGGAAGACAACCAGCGAUUUGAGAAAGAACUAGAAGAAUGGGAUGCACAACUUGCUCAGAAAGCCUUGCAGGAAAAACUUCUAGCAUCUCAGAAACUGAGAGAGUCUGAGUCUUCUGUGACAACAGCACAAGCAGGAGAACCAGAAUAUCUAGAGCAGCCAUCAAGAAGUGAUUUCUCAAAGCACUUGAAAGAAGAAACCAUUCGAAUAAUUACCAAGGCAUCACAUGAGCAUGAAGAUAAAAGUCCUGAAACAGUUUUGCAGUCGAUCAUGAUGACACCGAACAUGCAAGGUAUUAUCAUGGCCAUAGGUAAAUCCCGGAGUGUGUAUGACAGGUGUGGCCCUGAAGCAGGGUUCUUUAAGGCAAUUAAGUUGGAAUAUUCAAGGUUGGUUAAAUUGGCCCAAGAAGAUACCCCACCAGAAACAGACUAUCGUUUACAUCAUGUAAUAGUCUACUUUAUCCAGAAUCAGGCUCCAAAGAAAAUCAUUGAGAAAACAUUGCUAGAACAAUUUGCAGAUAGAAAUUUGAGUUUUGAUGAAAGGUGUCACAACAUAAUGAAAGUUGCUCAAGCCAAAAUUGAAAUGAUAAAACCUGAAGAAGUAAACAUGGAGGAGUAUGAGGAGUGGCAUCAGGAUUAUAGAAAAUUCAGGGAAACAACCAUGUAUAUCAUUAUUGGGCUAGAAAAUUUUCAAAGAGAAAGUUAUAUAGAUUCCUUGCUAUUCCUUAUCUGUGCUUAUCAGAAUAACAAGGAACUGUUGUCCAAAGGCCCAUACAGAGGACAUGAUGAAGAACUGAUAUCACAUUAUAGAAGAGAAUGUUUACUAAAAUUAAAUGAGCAAGCUGCAGAACUGUUUGAAUCUGGAGAGGAUAGAGAAGUAAACAAUGGUCUGAUUAUCAUGAAUGAAUUUAUUGUCCCGUUUUUGCCCCUGUUAUUGGUGGAUGAAAUGGAAGAGAAAGACAUACUUGCUGUAGAAGAUAUGAGAAAUCGAUGGUGUUCCUAUCUUGGACAAGAAAUGGAAUCAAACCUCCAAGAGAAGCUGACAGAUUUUCUGCCAAAGCUGCUCGAUUGUUCUACGGAGGUUAAAGGUUUCCAUGAGCCGCCUAAGUUACCUCCGUACUCCACACAUGAACUCUGUGAGCGAUUUACCCGAAUCAUGCUGUCCCUCAGUCGAACUCCUGCUGAUGGAAGAUAAACUGCACAUACU